GGGGUUGUGGCUCAGUGGUAGAGUACUUGCCUACCAUGUAUGAUACAUUGUGUUCGAUCCUCAGCACCA
rnacentral:tRNA from 1 species